UACGUAGGGGGCAAGCGUUGUCCGGAAUCAUUGGGCGUAAAGCGCGUGUAGGCGGCCAGGUAAGUCCGUUCUGAAAGCCCGGGGCUCAACCCCGGGAGGCGGAUGGAUACUGCUUGGCUCGAGUCCGGAAGAGGCGAGUGGAAUUCCCGGUGUAGCGGUGAAAUGCGCAGAUAUCGGGAGGAACACCAAUGGCGAAGGCAGCUCGCUGGGACGGUACUGACGCUGAGACGCGAAAGCG
rnacentral:rRNA from 1 species